UCUGCAUCUCUCUAAAACUCAAGCCUCUACCUUUUCUCCUCCUUCUCUCUAGAAAUUCUUCAUCCCCUUUCAUUCUUAUAUUCAACCAGCCAUUGUUUAAGCAAACUAGGAGUCAAGAUCAUUGUUUUCCACCGACCAAAAUCAAGCUUAGAGUUGGCAUUCAUAGGAAUUUCUGGUGGUGAUCGAGUCUGCAGUUGUUGAAGUUGUUCGGUCCGAUUAAGAAAGUGUGCAGAAGAUAUUCUGGAGUAUGCGCUGGCACGAGAGGGGGGUUUUCGCUAAGAGGAAGACUGUUCGGUCUUGUAUUUGUUUUUGCUUUUAGUAUAAGACCGUUCGGUGUAAUACACUGUUAUAGGAUUAUUCGG